rnacentral:misc_RNA from 1 species
CCGGCGGCACUGUAGCAAAACGACGCGUGGAUGUCUGUACAGUGGCAGGCGUUUGUGGAAAAUUACAACAAUCUUGUUCAGUCCAGAUGAAAGGUAGAUAGUGCGUUCUAAGAUUAGAGAGCUAAUAGAAGCUAACAUCAUUUGCCCCAGUCGGUUUCUGUUUGUGAGUCCUAUACUACUUGUGAAGAAAUGAACUCUAACGCGGUGCCAGAUAGGUUCUCUUUGCUUUUUAUAGCAGAGUAAGUGGCUAGGAACAGAAACGAGUGCGAGUUACGACAAAUUUAGAUUUAAUAAAAUUAAGUCUAAAAUUUUAAAGUUUAACAUUGGUGACUUGGUCUUAAUUCAAAACGAAGAGGUAAAUCAGACAAAAUUAGAACGUAC